rnacentral:misc_RNA from 1 species
UUCGAGCGUCUCUAUCAGCCUACACGUUUUGCGUGGUAUUGGGGUUGCGUUUUUGCAGCUCUAAAUCUCAAGUGGGAUAGCCUUGAAGUCUCCACUGAAGUAAAAUACCGGUACGAGCUUCGGGGAGUUUCGCCAAUAAUGGUGCAAGCCGAUUUAACAAGGUUGACCUCGGAUCAAGUAGGGAUACCCGCUGAACUUAA